AUUGAACGCUGGCGGCAGGCCUAACACAUGCAAGUCGAACGAGUGGCGGACGUGUGAGUAAUGUCUGGGAAACUGCCCGAUGGAGGGGGAUACCUACUGGAAACGGUAGCUAAUACCGCAUACCAUCGGAUGUGCCCAGCUGGGCGUAGCUAGUAGGGGGGGUAACGGCUCACCUAGGCGACGAUCCCUAGCUGGUCUGAGAGGAUGACCAGCCACACUGGAACGGAGACACGGUCCAGACUCCUACGGGAGGCAGCAGGGGGGAAUAUUGCACAAUGGGCGAAAGCCUGAUGCAGCAAUGCCGCGUGUAUGAAGAAGGCCUUCGGGUUGUAAAGUACUUUCAGCGGGGAGGCGUUACCCGCAGAAGAAGCACCGGCUAACUCCGUGCCAGCCGCCGCGGUAAUAC
rnacentral:rRNA from 1 species